rnacentral:rRNA from 1 species
GACGAACGCUGGCGGCGUGCCUAAUACAUGCAAGUCGAGCGAUGAAGAUGGGUGCUUGCGCCAAUUUGGAGAGCAGCGAACGGGUGAGUAACGCGUGGGGAAGCUGCCUUUGAGCGGGGGACAACAUUGGGAAACGAAUGCUAAUACCGCAUAACAACUUUAAACAUAAGUUUUAAGGUUGAAAGAUGCAUUGGGAGCUCUCAAAGAUGAUCCCGGGUUGUAUUAGCUAGUUGGUGAGGUAAAGGCUCACCAAGGCCAAGAUACAUAGCCGACCCGAGAGGGUGAUCGGCCACCAUGGGACCGAGACACGGCCCAAACUCCUACGGGGGGCAGCCGUAGGGGAUCUUCGGACAUGGGCGAAAGUCUGACCGCGGACCGACGGGUGAGGGAAGGAGGGUUUCGGAUCGUAAAACUCUGUUGGUAGGGAAGAACGUUCGUGAGAGUAGAACGCCCCUCAAGUGACGGUAACUACACAGAAAGGGACGGCUAACUACGUG